UGGGGAAUAUUGGACAAAUGGGCGAAAGCCUGAUCCAGCAAUGCCGCGUGAGUGAUGAAGGCCUUAGGGUUGUAAAGCUCUUUUACCAGGGAUGAUAAUGACAGUACCUGGAGAAUAAGCUCCGGCUAACUCCGUGCCAGCAGCCGCGGUAAUACGGAGGGAGCUAGCGUUGUUCGGAAUUACUGGGCGUAAAGCGCACGUAGGCGGCGAUUCAAGUCAGAGGUGAAAAGCCCGGGGCUCAACCCCGGAACUGCCUUUGAAACUAGAUUGCUAGAAUCCUGGAGAGGUGAGUGGAAUUCCGAGUGUAGAGGUGAAAUUCGUAGAUAUUCGGAAGAACACCAGUGGCGAAGGCGACUCACUGGACAGGUAUUGACGCUGAGGUGCGAAAAGCGUGGGGAGCAAACAGGAUUAGAUACCCUGGUAGUCCACGCCGUAAACGAUGAUAACUAGCUGUCCGGGCUCAUAGGAGCUUGGGUGGCGCAGCUAACGCAUUAAGUUAUCCGCC
rnacentral:rRNA from 1 species